rnacentral:rRNA from 1 species
UACGAAGGGGGCUAGCGUUGCUCGGAAUCACUGGGCGUAAAGCGCGCGUAGGCGGUUUUCCAAGUCGGGCGUGAAAGCCCCGGGCUCAACCCGGGAAAUGCGCUCGAAACUUGAAGACUGGAGGCCGGAAGAGGGUAGUGGAAUUCCCAGUGUAGAGGUGAAAUUCGUAGAUAUUGGGAAGAACACCAGUGGCGAAGGCGGCUACCUGGUCCGGAUCUGACGCUGAGGCGCGAAAGCGUGGGGAGCAAACAGG